rnacentral:rRNA from 1 species
GGACUACCCGGGUAUCUAAUCCCGUUCGCUCCCCUGGCUUUCGUGUCUCAGCGUCAGCACACCCCCAGCCAGCUGUUUUCACCGUUGGCGUUCCAAAUGAUAUCUACGCAUUUCACCGCUCCACCAUUUGUUCCGCUGGCCCCUAGGUGGCUCAAGACGCCCAGUAUACCCAGCCGUUCCACGGGUGAGCCGUGGGAUUUCACAAGGUACUUAGGCGUCCGCCUACACACGCUUUAAGCCCAGUGAUUCCGCCUAACGCUCGGCACCUCUGUAUUACCGCGGCUGCUGGCAC